rnacentral:rRNA from 1 species
CAGAACGAACGCUGGCGGCGCGUCUUAAGCAUGCAAGUCGAACGGCAAGAGGUAGCAAUACCUCCUAGAGUGGCGGACUGGUGAGUAACACGUGGGUGACAUACCCUUCAGGAUGGGGAUAGCUAUUAGAAAUAGUAGAUAAUACCGAAUACGAGCACAGGGGUUAGAGAUCUGUGAGGAAAGGAGCUAAGGCUCCGCUGAAGGAAUGGCCUGCGGCCCAUUAGCUAGUUGGUGAGGUAAGAGCCCACCAAGGCGAUGAUGGGUAUCCGGCCUUAGAGGGUGAACGGACACAUUGGGACUGAGAUACGGCCCAGACUCCUACGGGAGGCAGCAGCUAAGAAUAUUCCGCAAUAGACGAAAGUCUGACGGAGCGACGCCGCGUGGAUGAAGAAGGCCGGAAGGUUGUAAAAUCCUUUUGAAACUGAAGAAUAAGCGUUGUAGGGAGUGACAGCGUGGUGACAGUAGGUUUUGAAUAAGCAACGGCUAAUUACGUGCCAGCCGCAGC